CCCAUUAUUGCCCUUUUAAAGAAUGACCACAUUCUACGUCGUCUCAAGUCUCAGCAGCUUCUUCUUCUUUGUCUAAUGGAAGUUACAGCUACAACAGUAAGAUGGGUUUUUGCGAACGUACAAAAACUACAUCGUUCCAGGUUGUCUUUCUUGUCAUCCCCACCGAAUCUUCCUUUCCUGGUCACUCUAUCAUUUCUGCUUCUCACCCACUAUCGGUAAAAUUACAAUUGUACCCUUCAGUAUACUUAUGUUAGCAAUGGAACCUCGUUCUGGGAGCUCAAGCGUGCAUACCUCUGAUUUGGAGGGAUUGUGUGAUGGGUUUUCUAUGAAUUCUGGCUUUGAAGCCAAAACAAGAGAUGGGUCAUGUUCAACUUCUUCCUUGGUUUUGGAUAGUCAGAGGGGCGAGCUUGUGGAGGCUACUGUGAGAGUAGGGAGAGGGGGGGUGUCUGCAGAGAGAAGC
rnacentral:misc_RNA from 1 species